rnacentral:rRNA from 1 species
CCUACGGGCGGCUGCAGUGGGGAAUUUUGGACAAUGGGGGCAACCCUGAUCCAGCCAUGCCGCGUGCGGGAAGAAGGCCUUCGGGUUGUAAACCGCUUUUGUCAGGGAAGAAAUCUUCCGAGUUAAUACCUUGGGAGGCUGACGGUACCUGCAGAAUAAGCACCGGCUAACUACGUGCCAGCAGCCGCGGUAAUACGUAGGGUGCAAGCGUUAAUCGGAGUGACUGCGGGUAAAGCGUGCGCAGACGUGUGAAAUCCCCGGGCUUAACCUUGGAACUGCACUUGUGACUGUACGGCUGGAGUACGGCAGAGGGAGAUGGAAUUCCGCGUGUAGCAGUGAAAUGCGUAGAUAUGCGGAGGAACACCGAUGGCGAAGGCAGUCCCCUGGGCCUGUACUGACGCUCAUGCACGAAAGCGUGGGGAGCAAACAGGAUUAGAUACCCGAGUAGUC